GGCGGUAUAGCCAAGUGUUAAGGCAGCAGUCUUGCAAGGCUGUGAGCUCCGUGUUCAAUUCCGGAUACCGCCUCCA
rnacentral:tRNA from 1 species